UUUUGAGUGUAUAGAAGUAGUAAUAGCACCUGUUUAGCACUCCGUACGUACUUCUAAAGUUUGUUACUCAGAAAACUGCUCUUUAGUUAGUGCAAAAAAAAAAAAAAAAAAUUAAAAAAUAAAAGUAAAUACAUUUUAAAGAAGCAAACAAACAAGAUGGAACAUAAAAAACCGAAGAAGCAUAGCAUUGAACAAGCAAUGAACGACUAUUUGAUAAACCUAAGCAAUUUAUACAAAAAUUCUUUACCUUCUAGUGAUAAUGAAAAUAAUAUAAAAAAAAUAUGGAAAAAAAAUAACAUAAACAUUGAUACGUUAAUAAAUAAUAUAGAUAUAAUAAAAAAAAAAAAAAGUACGUACAGCAGUAGUAUUGUUGAUUUACAGAACGACAUCAAGCAUACCACUACUAGCAUGUAUGAUAGUGAUAACACUAGUAGUUAUAAAACAAGUCUUAAUAACAACAAUAGUAAUGAUAAUAAUACUAAAAACAUUUACUAUAUUAAUAAUAUCAACUUAUUAAGUGAAGACAAAAAUGAACCAAUAUAUUACGAUAAGUUAAUGGAUUAUAUUUUUCCAUCAAAAGAGAGGGAAAUCUACACCGGCAUUAAAAACCUUAUAAAAAACGAACAAGAUUAUGAACAAAUCGAAUUAAAUGAGUUUUUAUUUUGCUAUCUAUACAUGUUAGCAAUUAAAAAAAUAUAUUACGAUAUUGUUGCACAAAAGAAAAUAAAAAAUUGUUUACAAAAAGGUGCUUACGUUGACAUGGGUGAACAAAUCGACACAGAUGAACAAAUCGACACAGAUGAACAAAUCGACACAGAUGAACAAAUCGAAACAGAUGAACAAAUCGAAACAGAUGAACAAAUCGACACAGAUGAACAAAUCGAAACAGAUGAACAAAUCGACACAGAUGGUAAUCCCGACACAGAUGGUAAUCCCGACAGUGGUGAUAACCCAAUAAAAAAAAAAGGCCAAGAACAAUAUACUUAUAACUUAAAUAGAAUAAAAAAAGACAUCGAUAACACAUUUAUGGGUUCUUCCGUUUCUUACGAUGCUUAUCACAAUUAUAUAAAUAGUGAUGUUGCUAGCAAAGAAGUUAAUAAUUUAAAUAUACAUACUACUCCAAAUAUGUCAUUUGAUUUCAAUAAAGAAAAGGUAAAAAAUGAAAAAACGGAUAAUGCUGACUUAGUAGUAACAGGUGUUACAACUAAUAAUAUCCAUAUGUCUGAUAAUAAUUACAAAAAAAGAAACAAUAAUAUUACGCACCAAUUGAAUAAAGAUUUAUAUGUUAAAAGUAGAAACGUGCAAAACAAAUUUGGAUUAUAUGUGAAUAAAAAUUCACAUAGCUAUAGUUCGCUCCCACGAACAAAUGAUAACAACAAAUUUAACACGUAUCUAUCUAAAACACUGUCAAACGAUUUAUCAAUAUUGAAAAAAAAAACAGAAGAACUUAAAAAAAUAAAAAAGAAUAGUAAAAAUAAUAGUCACAACAAUUUGGAUGUGUUACUAUCACUUACAAAUGGUGAAGAAGAUGAAGAAGAUGAAGAAGAAGAAGAAGAAGAAGAAGAAGGAGAAGAAGAAAGAGAAAGAGAAGAAAAAAGAGAAAGAGAAGAAAAAAGAGAAAGAGAAGAAAAAAGAGAAA
ensembl:lncRNA